GUUAGGACAGGAAAAAGGUUAGCGAGAAAACAAAUCACUCGAGAGUGAAAUAAUGAAACGAGACGAUUUUACCAGCAGUCGCCGUUGCACGUAUUUCAUCAGUUGUAUCUAUUUACUUACAUACUUACAAUUCGAACAGCGACGUUUCGAAAAGAAAACAUCGUAUCCGUCAAUAAAAUUUCGAUACCAACGAAAACACUGAACCAUGUUGGAAGAGUCAGCGAGCUUACAAUUGAUAUGUAUCUUGCGUGUCUUUCACAGCAUGUUUACAUUGUUCGGGAUAUGAUGCGUCACCGAAUUCGAGCGAGCUUGGUAUCCACGUGGGGAGGCGGCGGUGCACUCCAUAUACCAUUCUCUCUACAUGUUGGUCUCCUGACGGGUUCCAGCGGAGUUACAUAUCCGGGCAGACAGGCUUGUACCAAAAUUUCAGAGGGGCGAUUCGUCCGUGCGGUGGAUCACCCGGAUAAGGGCACCUUACUUUGCCUGGAAACAAGUCGCGGAAGGUUAGCCAACCCAGUACAAACCGCGGAGAGAAUCGCGUUCGUUCGAAGAGAAGCCCGUUGUUUCUACACUUACAAACUGGUGACGAGUGAGACCACGUCCCAUUUUCGGUACAAAUGAUGGAAGACUCGCCUAACAGUUGGUGACCCGGCAAACAAGCAUACAUAACGAGUGCGCCAACUUUGUGUACUCGAUCGCGAUGCUGUUUACUUCCCAAAUUGUGACGAGGGGUUUGUUCGAUGAUGCGUCCGCUUUCCGGUACCGAUGGUGCUGGGCAGCUAAUUUCUGGGGAACGAUUAUUACAGGCCCGUAUAACGUGGACAAGGAAUGAAAGGAAAAAGAAUGCAAGUGACCAGGGAUUACCAGCACAAGUCGGUACAUCUCCGCUCCACGAACCGUCUCCUUGACAUUCUACAGUUUCCGAACCCACAAGCUUGUGGCCCCACAUACAAGCGAACACGGCUUUACCGCCAAAAGUAUUGUUGUACUCGAGAAGCUGCAACCAAGAAUCGCUAAUCGCGUCCAGAGGUGGACAUUCGAUGGUAUCGCAUCGCGGCAUAUCGGCGGACCAUUUACCUACAAACAAUCGACGAUCGAUCAACCGUUUCUAAGAAUGUUGAAGACCCGCAGCACUUUCGUCGGAUCUCGUACCGUUGUACUGGCACGUUAUACCGGUAGCACCUUCUAAUCUGUAUCCGACCGGGCAUUCGAACACUGCUCCGUGUCCCAUUCGUGCACCUUCAAUUUUCCCGAGCAACGGUGGUUCCGGCAAGCUCAAGAUCGGGCAUUGAACGUCUGGAACGGCGCAUAGAUUUCGCUGUUAUUAUUUCUCGAGCGAUUCUCGUCUCUUCCUUCUUUCCUUCUACCGUGCAAAAAGGAAAAACGAACAGCAACGCUUACCAACAACGUGAACGCGAAUCGAAUUGGAUAAUCCACGGGGUGUGGAACACGUGUACACACCGGAAUCCUGAGCUUUCGCAUAAUAUAUGGACAGCCGGUAUUUCCAGUCUCUUUCUCGAGCGGCGAUCGCCCAUCCUGCAGCGAAUGGAAACCGCUACAAGGCAAUGUUCGUUGGGUUUCGGUGCUUCGCGAUUAUCUCUGCAUAUUUUCUGCUAGUUCUUUUCCCGAUUGUCCCGAGUCUGCAUACGUAGUCCCAUGCCGAGGACUCGUAUACCAAGCGAACGAGUAUACGAAUGAUUGAAAAUUCCCAUUUCCCAGAAUGAUCAACGAUUAACGUACCGCAGCUGGAUCCCACGAUAUCACCGACGGCACUUACUCACCGGUCAAGUACUGACGAAACGUCGAAGUCCACGUCCAUUCCGGAUUACCAAGUUUCCGGGCGAAAAGGCACUCCAAGUGAAGAAUGCUCCCCGGAAAGACCGCAAGGGUACCGGAUGGUUCCACGGCAGCCGAGCCGGCUGGCAGUCCAAACACGAUCGUGGGCGGUACGUCUUCUGUUUCUCCUCGAACAGUCAUCAGAGGAGAAUAACUAAACACAGGUAUCGGUCUCGUCUCCAUCAGGAGAACUUGAUUCCAUCGAAUCGUGUAACACGUUCAACGAAUUCGCAUACCAACUUAUCGUCUCUACGCUGAACGCAGCGGAUCAACGAACGUUGUUCCGGAUACGCCAGGGGAGAUUUCAUUGAAAUAGACACGAAACAGCCAUCGUUCGGCUUACUCACCGGUAUAAUUCGAAAUGGCCGUUGUCGGAACGCAGGAAGGUAGUUUUCCAUUCCAACUCGCAUUGCGGCAAUGUAGCAGAGAAUCACCGAUAAGCUUGUAUUUGCCAAGUUCUCUGCAUCUUACGGUCACACGUUCCCCGUGCGGUACAAUGAUCUUAUCCACCUAAAGCAACACACACGCACGCAGCCAGAUGCGCGACGUUUAAACACGUUCAUUCAACUGUAACGCGUUCUACGGUUUCAUCGUUCCACCGAUAAUAAUAUUUUAACAUGUUUUUCAUGAUACUUACAGCUAUCGUUAUGUUUUUGUAAGUAAUAAUCAAAAGCGGAUGGAGGCCUUCGAGUUUGCAGCUCUGCUGUAACCCGUCCGCGUCUGUAAGUCGAUGCAUACCUAUGAAUCACAUCGACGUACACUCGGACCGAUAUUCUACGCACAUUCGGCAAACAUUUUCUUUUUCUUCUUACAGAUCAUUUUGCACCGAUUGCAGUCGGGAGGUCAGCGAAAGCGUUACGCGUUUUAACCGCGUAAAAUGUUUCAUACGUUCAACUAUAAACGAACACUACUAUGUUUUACUCGUACAUUUUAUGAAAAGAUCAUUUCUUUCGUUUAAACGGUUAGUCGCAGUUCUCCGUAAAACUACCUCUGCUUGUUAGAAAUCGGUUUCGUUUGUGGUCAGUCUCAGUCACGGAUUUCAAAUGGCCGUCUUUACGCGUAUACCAAGGCGCAAAGGUCGGCAAACUAGUAAAAGUAAUAAUACACGGACAGAUAGAUGCUCGUUUCCCCGAACGCGCAGAUUUAUGUAUUCUCCAAAUCUAUUAACCCUUUGCAGCCCUAUGUUAAAACGAGUAUUACGCGGGUGUCGUUUGGAAAAUCUUACAAAUUACAUUUAUUUCUUCGCGCAUGCUCGGUGCGUUCAUAUCGAACGCUCGAUACAGUAUCAUCCACUGUCUAACCGUUUUCAAAAGCGUUCAGACGCCUCGUCAUCGAUCCGCUUUGGACCCUUGGGAAACAUUUGUCUCGGAAAAAUAUCUAUUCCCUUGAAAUUCGCCUGCCCGCUUAUUAUAUUAUCUUCUAUCCUUUUGAAAGCAUCGCGAGGAAUAAAUUUGACAAUGUUCUCUAUUUCUUUCUUUCUUCCUUUCUCUCUUCUUUCUCUCUACAAGUAUUUCUUGUUUAUUUUCCUUGUUCGAUGUAUACAAGUUUGAAUGUUGGUUCGUCCGUUUUGUCAGGACCAUAGAUGUAUCGAACGAAUAUGCUUGAAUAACGUGUCACACAGGGUUAAGAUACCAUCCGAAAGUUUCAUUUUUAUUGUCGUCUUAGUUCCGUGUUUCGUUUCUCGCGUAUUUCUCGAGAUGCCAAGAAUCGUGUUAUCAUUGCAAAACUACCGUUCAUUGUGAAAACUGACACGAGAUUGUAUACAUACAAAGAAAACGAUGAAAUGCACGAGACAUAGAAUUUAAGUACCUGUUUGACCCGCUUCACAGAAUCCGAUAAUUAGACCGAGCAAGAGGACAAACCAUCUCGUCGUCAGUAUCGCGCGAAACACACUCUCGAGCAAUUUCCUCCUGCUUUCCUUCUCGAUGGACAUACUGUUGGUCAUCAUACAUCAGAGCGAUAUCCUGUUCGAGUUACCACACUGGAACCUCGUUUCGAUGCUGUUCGUGCACCGAAAAUCGCUCGAAUUUUCAUACGUUGAAAUAUAGCUCAUUUUUGCUUUCGGCAUGUCGUUUCAUAUGCACAACGGCACAACAGCACAACAAUCGAUACCGACAGUUGAACGCGGUGUCUGAUUCACUGGAAAACGGAACAGAUCGAUCAGCGGAAGGGUAUUCAUCGUCCAGGAAGGAAAUUUUGAUCGGACAAUUUCGAAGGGAACGUAUACGUACGUGUCGCCCAACUUCUACUUGAUCGUCCAACGAUCAACGGCAAGAGCAACGUCCCUACUAACUUCAUCCCUAACGUUCCUAAACGAUAUCUACCAUCGCCACCUCCGCCUCCUCCGCCACCUUCGCCACCUCCGGCAACUUGGUCACUUUCUCCGGUGCUAUUUCUGUCAUAGCUGUCUCUUGUAUUAUCACUACGAAUGCCGAUGGAACGAGACGAAUAAGAGAAUCGGCGGGGUGGAUAGAAAAAUUCAAGUUACAAGCGGUUUUAGGUUUUCCUAAUUUCUCGAAUUUUUCGAAAUUACUUUCCGUUUGUUUGCCAAAUAGGCUGAACGAAUGUUCGUGUCGCGGAUCGAUCGCGACAGAGCAGUGGUAGCAUUUCAGAAACGGCGGGUUGUCGAAUAAAAGGAAGACGGUGCAAACCGAAAGACCCUGGAUAAACGAUCGCUACAGAAUUCAGCUAGUCAUGACGCUCUGUUUUUUUUUCAUUUAGAAAGCUCUGGUUGCUCUAGGCGAGUAGCAACAGUAGUGGUACUAGUAGUAGCAAUAGUAGCAGUAGUAGUAGUAGCCCGAAUUAGGUACCAACUGGGAGCUCGCGAGCCGCCCCAUAGUGAUAUUCCCCUCGCGAAAAGUUACCUUCACCAUACCUACUUUUACCUAUUGUAUCCGACAGUACGUACAACUGCUCGUAUACACAACCGCGGGCAGUUCCUCUGGUAGAGGGAACGGGGAAUGCUGUUUUCGAGUUACUAGCGCGAGGAGAGUAACUUUGACACCAUUCAAAUAGCCUGUAUUUGGUCAUUUCACCUAGUAACUUAUUCAACUGAUUUAUACCAGUUACUUCACCUAGGUGUCGCGCGGGUUCGCCAUUGCGUUUCCGCGGAUUCGUACAGUCCGUAGAGUACAGUCUCUACGUAGCUCAAAUCUGUGUGUUUUAUCGUAAAGUAUACGAGUCUCGCGAUAAAAGACGUCAGGAAAGCAAUUCUGUAGCUGUGUUGCGGUCUCAUAAACCAUACAAUAGAAUAUUUCUCAACUAUUUUCAGACCAACGAUUAGUCUGCUCUCCUCGACAUGUCUAACGAAGCGAAUAACUGUUGUCGAGAACGGCGUAACCUUGUCGUAUCAGCGUUAUUCGAUAUCUCAAAACAAGUACCGAGUCGCGUCAUCAGCUGGAGAGUUUGGCGGUCGGUUACUCUCGAAUGUCGACAAGUUGCCGACGACUGUAUAAGUUAUCCUUAUCGGUUUAUUACCGACAGCAGAGCAAAUGUCAAACGUGAAAACCCAAAGUAUGCAGUUUACUGAUUAGUAAUUAAAAAAAAAAGAAAUUUGACGGAAAAUAAUUAUCAACACUUAUAUGGGACAACGUCCUGGUUUUUCCAGAUAUACAAAUCAAUCGUUCGAAAAAUGAUACCAACUUCGUCCAUUACAUUAUGCUAGUAAAGUGGGUUCAUUUCUGGUAUUCGUAUUGUAUUGUUCGUGAAAAGUGUGAAUUCCAUUUUAUAUUCUGAUCGAUGUCUAUAAGAAAUUUCGUGCGUAUACCAAUAUGUAAUAUUGGGAGAAAAGAAUAAA